AUGUGCCCGAUAAAACAGGAAAACUUGAUCCAUGAUGACCAGAAAUUGAUAUUGCUGGCAUCUCUUAGCGACUCCUUGGAAUAUUUAGCAGAUUCAGUUGAAAGGCUUGGUGAGUCAUUUAUAAGUCCAUCCACCAUCUCAGAAAACAAAAGUGACAUACACCAAAGUCACCAUACUCGCACAUCUAGUGCAAUUCCGAAAAGCCUUGCAUCUCUUGCUAAUGAGUACAGAAGGCUAGCAACCGAUUGUGUUAGAGUCUUGAGAUUGGAAAUGCAGUUGGAGACAAUAUAUCACAUGCAGGACAUGACAAAAAGAGAAUAUGUAGAAGAUCAAGACGCUGAAGAUCCUGAUGACUUCAUCAUCUCUCUUACAACUCAGAUUGCACGUAGGGAUGAAGAAAUGGCUCCUUACAUCCCAGAAUCGAAAAGGAACUAUGUAUUUGGUGGGAUUUCUAGUGUUGCUGCUAAUGCAUCAAUAAAGGCACUCGCACUAAUGAAGUCCAUCAACCUGUUGGGAGUUCAACAAAUAUGCAGAAACUCGAUAGCACUAGAACAGGCACUUGCAGCCAUACCUUCCAUUGAUAGUGAGGCAGUCCAACAGAGAUUAGAUCGUGUUCGGACAUUCUAUGAGCUACUAAACCUGCCUUUCGAGUCUUUGCUUGGGUUCGUUGCUGAACAGGAAUAUAUUUUUUCUGCAAAAGAAUACUUGAGCAUACUAAAGGUCAAUGUACCUGGUAGAGAGAUACCAAUGGAUGCUGAACGCCGUAUCUCACAGAUUUUGAGUCAUUAA
rnacentral:rRNA from 1 species